GCCCUUUUUGACCUAUGAAACAGCACAUACCGUGUGAUUCAUUUUGAAAUUGUAUUUAUUAUUUGCACAGAAAAGAGUCUGGAAGGGUCUGCUCUUAAGUGUUCACAAACGGUUGCUUUGAGGGGGAGUGAGAUUUGGGGUUUUGGUUUGUUUGGGUUUUUUGCUGGUGUUCGCUUUCUGUAAUAAAAAUAACUGAUUCUGUAUAGGAAACAGGUUAUUUUAAUUGUUUAAAUACAUCACAGUAACAAGUGAAGCGGCAUAUAAGGUGUUUACCACUUCUCAGCUUUUCAAUAAGUAACAUUUAAUCGAUUUACCAAGGGCCAACAAAAGUUCAGUGAGGUUAUAUCCUUUUCUUAGCUUUCCAGUCGUUUUGAAUGCUGAAAAACAGCAAUACAGUACCCACGACCCUCUCAGGAAUAUGCCGCAGGCUCUUUAGCAACCACACGCGACCAGAGUACUCCGGGCCCCAGGAAGACACCGAGCGACCGGCAGGCAUCUACUUCCGGGGGUCCUAGGCCUUUCAACCCGGAAGCGAAUGGGGAAUGGCGCGUGGCGUUCUGGGAAGAGUUAUGAAGGCGGGGCUGGCGUCUCUGUUACCAAGGUGACCGGAGGCGCUCGAAGGUUGCGGGUGGUUUGGAACCGUUAGGAGAAGCUAAGAUGCUCAAUUAGAGAUCAUUUGGGAUGAGAGAAAGGGGCUUCAGAACCCUCCUGAAAGGAGAUUGUCCUGUCGGGAGGUUAUUCAGUGGUGCCCCGCGGCGGGAGCCCCGGCGCUGGGGAUGGGGAUUAUCCCUUGCUCUGCCUUGAGUCCUGUGGCCAAGUAAAAUGCGGCCCAGUAACGCUUUGUCGAUUUCUUCAUGCCCUUUUCCAGUUUUCUGCCUCCUCUUAGAAAAUCAACAAAGAAGGCAUUGGGAACUUUAAUGAAACCCUGUUUGCAGUAAACUGAAGAGAAAGAUGAAGUGGACACAGCAUGUGAAGACAAUUCUUUCAAGAAAUUUGGCUAUAAAGGAAAAGAGAGAAAGGUGUUAAAGACCUGUAAGCAUGGAGCAGAACAAGGACCGCCUUUACUACCACAUGGCGGCUUGUCAAAAGUUGAAGCUAAUGAAGCCACUGGAAGACAGAGACCAAAUCUUGACGACAUUGUUUGAACCCAGGGAUCCAGGCAUGCCUAAAGGCUAGCUUUACCAAUGGACUUUUCAGUUAAAUGAGCCAGUAACUGUCUCUCUUAUGCUUAAGCUUGAGUUUAACCUGAAUUUUUGCCCUUUACUACUCAAAACAAGGAGCCCUGAUGCACAGCGAUUAAGAGCUCAGGUCAGUGGUUCAAACCCAUAAGCCGCUCCUUGAGAGAAAAAUGUGGUAGUUGGCUGCGUUAAAGAUUACAGCCUUGGAAACCCUAUGGGGCAGUUCUACUCUGUUCUGUAGGGUCGCCAUGAGUUGGAAUCAACUAGACGACAACAACACUACUGAAAACAUCCUAAUAAAGUUAUACAUUGUUAAAUCAACAUUAUUUCUCUUUCUUCUUUACCAUAUUUUGAAUUUGUUACUGUAUAUACUCUAUAAUUUAUUCUAGUUUUCAC